rnacentral:rRNA from 1 species
ACGAACGCUGGCGGCGUGCCUAACACAUGCAAGUCGCACGAAUGGUGGAGAGCUUGCUCUUCACCGUUAGUGGCGGACGGGUGCGUAACACGUGAGCAACCUGCCUUCCGGUGGGGGAUAGCCGGCCUAACGGCCGGGUAAUACCGCGUACGACUUCGGGCUCGCAUGGGUCUGGAGUGAAAGCGGGCGCAAGCUCGCGCCGGAAGAGGGGCUCGCGGCCUAUCAGCUUGUUGGUGGGGUAAUGGCCCACCAAGGCUAUGACGGGUAGCUGGCGUGAGAGCGCGAUCAGCCACAUUGGGACUGAGACACGGCCCAGACUCCUACGGGAGGCAGCAGUGGGGAAUCUUGCGCAAUGGGCGAAAGCCUGACGCAGCGACGCCGCGUGGGGGAGGAAGGCCCCAGGGUUGUAAACCCCUGUCAGGUGGGACGAACCACGUGUCGGUCAAUACCCGGCGCGUCUGACGGUACCACCAGAGGAAGCUCCGGCUAACUCCGUG